AUUGAACGCUGGCGGCAUGCCUUACACAUGCAAGUCGAACGGCAGCACGGACUUCGGUCUGGUGGCGAGUGGCGAACGGGUGAGUAAUGUAUCGGAACGUACCUUUCAGUGGGGGAUAACGUAGCGAAAGUUACGCUAAUACCGCAUAUUCUGUGCGCAGGAAAGCAGGGGAUCGCAAGACCUUGCGCUGAUUGAGCGGCCGAUAUCAGAUUAGCUAGUUGGUGAGGUAAAGGCUCACCAAGGCGACGAUCUGUAGCGGGUCUGAGAGGAUGAUCCGCCACACUGGAACUGAGGCACGGUCCAGACUCCUACGGGAGGCAGCAGUGGGGAAUUGUGGACAAUGGGGGCAACCCUGAUCCAGCCAUGCCGCGUGAGUGAGGAAGGCCGUCGGGUUGUAAAGCUCUUUCGGCCGGGAAGAAAUCGUAUCAGCUAAUACCUGGUGCGGAUGACGGUACCGGCAUAAGAAGCACCGGCUAACUACGUGCCAGCCGCCGCGGUAAAAC
rnacentral:rRNA from 1 species